rnacentral:rRNA from 1 species
GACGGAGGGGGCUAGCGUUGUUCGGAAUUACUGGGCGUAAAGAGCGCGUAGGCGGAUUAGUAAGUUGGGAGUGAAAGCCCGGGGCUUAACCUCGGAAUAGCUUUCAAAACUACUAGUCUUGAGUGUAGUAGGGGAUGAUGGAAUUCCUAGUGUAGAGGUGAAAUUCUUAGAUAUUAGGAGGAACACCGGUGGCGAAGGCGGUCAUCUGGGCUACAACUGACGCUGAGGCGCGAAAGCGUGGGGAGCAAACAGG